UACAGAGGGGGCAAGCGUUGUUCGGAAUUACUGGGCGUAAAGGGCGCGUAGGCGGCCUGUUAAGUCGGACGUGAAAUCCCUCGGCUCAACCGGGGAACUGCGUCCGAUACUGGCGGGCUUGAAUUCGGGAGAGGGAUGUGGAAUUCCAGGUGUAGCGGUGAAAUGCGUAGAUAUCUGGAGGAACACCGGUGGCGAAGGCGGCGUUCUGGACUGCAACUGACACUGAAAAACGAAAGCCAGGGGAGCAAACGGG
rnacentral:rRNA from 1 species